rnacentral:rRNA from 1 species
AUUGAACGCUAGCGGCAGGCCUAACACAUGCAAGUCGGACGAGUGGCGGACGGGUGAGUAAUGUAUGGGGAUCUGCCUAAUGGCGGGGGAUAACUACUGGAAACGGUAGCUAAUACCGCAUACCAUCAGAUGAACCCAUAUGGGAUUAGCUUGUAGGUGGGGUAACGGCUCACCUAGGCGACGAUCCGUAGCUGGUCUGAGAGGAUGAUCAGCCAAACUGGGACUGAUACACGGCCCAGACUCCGACGGGAGGCAGCAGUGGGGAAUAUUGCACAAUGGGCGAAACCCUGAUGCAGCCAUGCCGCGUGUAUGAAGAAGGCCUUCGGGUUGUAAAGUACUUUCAGUAGAGAAGCGGUACCGACAGAAGAAGCACCGGCUAACUCCGUGCCAGCAGCCGCGGUAAUAA